rnacentral:rRNA from 1 species
GAUGAACGCUAGCGGCAGGCUUAAUACAUGCAAGUCGUGGGGCAGCAUGAAGUAGCAAUACUUUGAUGGCGACCGGCAAACGGGUGCGGAACACGUACACAACCUUCCUUUUAGUGGGGAAUAGCCCAGAGAAAUUUGGAUUAAUACCCCGUAACAUAGCGAUGUGGCAUCACAUUGCUAUUAUAGCUUCGGCGCUAAAUGAUGGGUGUGCGUAUGAUUAGAUAGUUGGCGAGGUAACGGCUCACCAAGUCUACGAUCAUUAGCUGAUGUGAGAGCAUGAUCAGCCACACGGGCACUGAGACACGGGCCCGACUCCUACGGGAGGCAGCAGUAAGGAAUAUUGGUCAAUGGACGAAAGUCUGAACCAGCCAUGCCGCGUGAAGGAUUAAGGUCCUCUGGAUUGUAAACUUCUUUUAUAUGGGACGAAAAAAGGUCUUUCUAGAUCACUUGACGGUACCAUAUGAAUAAGCACCGGCUAACUCCGUGCCAGCAGCCGCAGUAAUAC